rnacentral:misc_RNA from 1 species
UGGUUCUGGCAUNGAUGAAGAACGCAGCGAAAUGCGAUAAGUAAUGUGAAUUGCAGAAUUCAGUGAAUCAUCGAAUCUUUGAACGCACAUUGCGCCCAUUAGUAUUCUAGUGGGCAUGCCUGUUCGAGCGUCAUUUCAACCCUUAAGCCCUGUUGCUUAGCGUUGGGAGCCUGCCGUCGCAGCUCCUCAAAGUUAGUGGCGGAGUCGGUACACACUCUAGACGUAGUAAUUCUUAUCUCGCCUAUAGGUUGUGCCGGUCCCCUGCCGUUAAACCCCCCAAUUUUUCAAGGUUGACCUCGGAUCAGGUAGGAAUACCCGCUGA